GUCUCUGUCUGGAGUCUCUGACAGCUUCCCAUCUUCAGACAGAGUGGGCACAGAAGUUGCGUACUCUGGCAAGCUCAGAGGCCGGCACUCCAUAAAAGAGAAGUGCCCCGUGUAUGUGAGCCGUUAGCGAUCCGCAAGAAGGCUUUUCUUAGUCUUCAUUCUUAGUUAACGUUGAAAUUUAGUGGCAAACUUUAGAAAGAGCCUGCAGUUCCUUUAGGGGCAUGUCCUGAAUGGAGAAAGACAGGAUUCGGGGAGGGAGGAAAAUGUGGGGGAAAGCGGAGAAGAGGGAGAGGGGAAAGAGGAGAGUCAACGCAGGAAGCAACAGACCCCAACUUCAGACCAUUACCGAGGGAGGGAACAAAGGAGGCACGAACCUCCUAACCCCGUAGCAGUGUGAACCUCCACCUAGAAGCUGCAAUGGAGUCCUGAUCUAAGCUAAGCCCAGUUCCCAAAGUCUUUGUGGGGAAAGCAGUCAGGCAGACAACACACCAAGGGUCCCAGGGAUGCUCUUUGAGGAAAGGGUUCAACAGAGAAAGGAAUUGGGAAAAGUUGAGAAUGACCAGGCACAACUCAGCAUGUCCUGACUUCGAGGAAGCCGGAAUCAGCCAUAGUGACUGUGGCUGGACCCCCCUGUACUCCCUCAGCACAAAGAUACCUGGCCUGAGGUUCUGGUGAUGAGACUUGGCCCCUUAGGAACCCAUGGGCCUAAGCCACAGCGUGCACUUUGGGUAACUCAGGGAGGUUUUCUGUAAGACUGCAGCUGUGUGCCAGGAAGACCACACCCACACAUCACAUCUCUUCCUUUCUUUCCCCCUUUGCAUCGCACAUUUCCUAUAAUAUCUCUGGCACGUGGACCUUGCUCAUUAUUCUGCAUGGCACAGGGCAUGGCCUAUUCCUCGUUAGCAUUUCAUAAUGUUUGCUAUUAGAAAGCAAGUCGUGUGACAGGAAGAGAUGUUAUAAACUGAAUGUUUAAUUAAUAGGAGUAAAACUGUGGUCAAUCA
rnacentral:lncRNA from 1 species